rnacentral:rRNA from 1 species
GACGAACGCUGGCGGCGUGCCUAAUACAUGCAAGUUGAGCGCUGAAGGUUGGUACUUGUACCAACUGGAUGAGCAGCGAACGGGUGAGUAACGCGUGGGGAAUCUGCCUUUGAGCGGGGGACAACAUUUGGAAACGAAUGCUAAUACCGCAUAAAAACUUUAAACACAAGUUUUAAGUUUGAAAGAUGCAAUUGCAUCACUCAAAGAUGAUCCCGCGUUGUAUUAGCUAGUUGGUUAGGUAAAGGCUCACCAAGGCGAUGAUACAUAGCCGACCUGAGAGGGUGAUCGGCCACAUUGGGACUGGGACACGGCCCAAACUCCUACGGGAGGCAGCAGUAGGGAAUCUUCGGCAAUGGACGAAAGUCUGACCGAGCAAGGCCGCGUGAGUGAAGAAGGUUUUCGGAUCGUAAAACUCUGUUGGUAGAGAAGAACGUUGGUGAGAGUGGAAAGCUCAUCAAGUGACGGUAACUACACAGAAAGGGACGGCUAACUACGUG